GAGGACUAAGAAGCAUUCCCUUCCACGUUUCUGUCAGUUUAAGGGCUCAAAGAGGUGUGGUGAGCAAAGAAGAAAUUCGAAGAUGUUGGAACUGAGGCUUGUGCAGGGGAGUCUGUUUAAGAAGGUGCUGGAAGCAAUCAAGGACCUGGUGACCGAUGCUAACUUUGACUGCUCGGCCACCAGUUUCACACUCA